CGGUUGUUUUGAGCGCGUAUCCCAUCCCAAAACAGCACAUGUUUCUUGUGCUUGUCUCAGUCUCAUCCUCUCAGCCUCCAACCUCUACCUCUCCUUCCACCUAUAUAAAACAAGCAAGAAAUCUAAGCUAAUGAAGAUUAAAAGGAGAAGCCAUGGUUUUAGGAGCGCAAGCGAUGCCCAGCUCUACAAACAACCACUCUGAGAUGUACUCAAGAACUCCGCCCAUGCUUUUAGUUCCUGGUGAGAACAAAGAUCAGCCGAUCGACCCUUCGCUUUGGAGGGAUGAGCAGAGGAUGAAGAAAGAGUUGGUGGCUUGGGCUAAGGCUGUUGCUUCCAUGGUGCUCCAUACGUCGCCACAAUUUCAGCAGCAUGGUUGUUGAGAAUUAAUAACAUGUACCUUCCCUUGUAAUAGCUCUCCCUUUUCCCCCUUGUAUGCCAUCUCAAACUCCUGGUAUUAGGAUUUCUGGGGUGUAAUAGUGUUUCUUAAAGAAGGCAUGGCUGUUAAUUAUCAUUAGUUUUGUAAUUUUGAGGAGUAACGUUUCCUUCUUUUUUUUUUUUUUGUCUCUCUCUCUACUUCUUGUUAAGUAUUAACAAAUACUGUUGUUUCUCUAACUGGCAAGGCUAUAAACCAUGUUAUUGUAAAAUUUUUGGAAAAGCAAGUUAUAGUUAUAUAAAAUCUCAUCUUGUUUUGAAUUUGAAGUUUCUUUUCCUUCUACAUUAGACAGUCCUGUACUUGAUUUGCUUCUUCUCAUGCUUGAAUAACCUUUGCCUUCUCUGUGCUACUGCUGCCGAUCUGCAUCUUUCGAUCUGCGAGUAUUGUGUUGUCUGGGACUGGACAGUUGAAUCAAUUAAAGUUUAUGGAAAUUUUGAUGCAGAGAGAUCUUAAUUACUAAAACAAGGUGGGACUUUCUCAUCC
rnacentral:lncRNA from 1 species